CAUUUUAUUUAUUUUAAUAAUUUCCCAAAAUUUAAACAAUCCACACCGAUCAGAAAAAGCCAUAAUUUAAAUCUCAAAAUAGUCUUCAAAGGAUUUUAAUAAAUUAUACUAUAAUCUAUUGAAGAAAAUCAUCAAUACAAUCUCACCUGGUCCAUCAUAAGCAUUUAUACAAUCUGAAGUCUUAAACUGCGAAACCAGUGCUGCCUUGCCAACUCCCUGGGAGCCAAGCAUCUGUACAUGGUAAACAUCGACUUUUUGAUUUGAUUGCGAGCCAUGCUCAGGUGUUGUUCCACCACCACCGCCAGAAUUCCCUCUCUGAUGCAUAGGACUGGAUGGUGCCAAACUAUUGCUACGUGAACGUCGGCGCCGAAAGGAAUCACCUCUAUUUAUAACGCCUGAAAAUAAAUUAACAACAACAAUAACGAAAUUAGUAAACAACAAAAUUUUAUUUAUUUAAAUUUCAUUUAUAAUCAAAUUAAGUAAUUAGUUGAAUUUGAUUUUAAUUGAACGAAAUUUUGUUUUUUGAUGAAAUCACAAAAAACAACCAAUAACAAACGUUACACGAGUGCGUGACAAUAAAGAAAAACUCAUUUUAUCA